rnacentral:rRNA from 1 species
UACGGGGGGGGGCAAGCGUUGUUCGGAAUUACUGGGCGUAAAGGGCUCGUAGGCGGCCAACUAAGUCGGACGUGAAAUCCCUCGGCUUAACCGGGGAACUGCGUCCGAUACUGGAUGGCUUGAGUUUGGGAGAGGGAUGCGGAAUUCCAGGUGUAGCGGUGAAAUGGCGUAGAUAUCUGGAGGAACACCGGUGGCGAAGGCGGCAUCCUGGACCAACACUGACGCUGAUGAGCGAAAGCCAGGGGA